rnacentral:rRNA from 1 species
CCUACGGGUGGCAGCAGUCGGGAAUAUUGCGCAAUGGAGGAAACUCUGACGCAGUGACGCCGCGUGCAGGAAGAAGGUUUUCGGAUUGUAAACUGCUUUAGACAGGGAAGAAAAACGACAGUACCGGGAGAAUAAGCGCCGGCGAACUACGUGCCAGCAGCCGCGGUAAAACGUAGGGAGCAAGGGUGAUCCGGAUUUAUUGGGGGUAAAGGGUGCGUAGAGGGUGAAGCAAGUGAGUUGUGAAAGCCCUCGGCUUAACUGAGGAACUGCAACUAAAACUACUUCCCUUGAGUACUGGAGCGGAAAGUGGAAUUCCUAGUGUAGCGGUGAAAUGCGUAGAUAUUAGGAGGAACACCAGUGGCGGAGGCGACUUUCUGGACCGUAACUGACGUUGAGGCACGCACGUGUGGGGAGCAAACAGGAUUAGAUACCCUAGUAGUC